UGGUAGGUGAGAAAUAUCUAUCACAGAGAAGUUUGUCCUAAAUGUGUGUCAAGAUGGAAGUAAGUUAUCUUAAGCAGUCUUGGUAAAGAAAGAUAGAAAAAUUACAGUUCAGAGGAGAUAUUUUCAGCAAAAGUUUCAGGUUUUCCUGUCAAUGGCAGAAGAGGAGGGGUCAAGCACUCUAGUUCAAGGGUAGAGAAAAGCCAUCCAGCUGAACAGAUGGGGAGCAGCUGAAGUGGCAGUGCUGCUGUCAGACAGGUCUCUGGAGCUGGGGAUUGACAAGUCAGGCACUGGCAAUGAUGAAUAGCAAGCAAUGCCUUUUCACACCAUACCAGAAAUAAUGGAUGAAUGUUUUGACCUCUGGAUUUGCAUGAGGUUGGUAAGGUUUUCCUGAAGAUUUCUUCUACUAUAGUUGAUGCACUGAAAAGUUUCCCUGAAUUUUGGAUCCACUAGUUUUUUUUUAAUUCCCCUAGUCAGCUAGAUCCAUUGUAUUGAUGGAUCAUACAGAUUGUUCUGACAGUCUGUCUUUUUCACCUUCUUUUUCUGAAAGCCCAUGUGACUCAUGGAGUGAAUUCAAUGUUUUUGAAACAAAGUUGAUUUUGCAAAAGCACAUGUACUACCACAGAGAGACGCAGAGUCUUAGAAUUAAUUUUUGCAUCAGGAGAUGAUAAGUAGAUACAAUUUGUAUUACGUUUAUUGGGUUGUUAUGAUUGGUGUUUCUUAGAUUCAACACGGCUGUGCAGCAAUGAUCUCACCUUCGAUUAUUUGUCACAGUGUGAACCUGCUACAACUACAUUGAGAAAUCCAAGUGGCCGGUUGCUGUUUAUUUGGAGAAAAUGGGGACCGCUUGUCAGACAAGAGGAGAAUGCCUUUUCCUUCAACUACAAAUGGCCUGAGUGGAAAACCAAGUGGCUGUGCAAUGUGGAGAACCUGGUGAUGGAACAAGCUCUCAGAAAAGUUUCAGGUACUAUUAUAUGUUUGAAUCAUAUUGGAUUAAACAGCAUGUUUCUUGUUAUGUGCUUAUCUCAGUGCACAGCAGGUAAGCCAGUGGAAGAAAACCAUAGAGAUCCCAUAAUGACUUCUUUUUGUUGUUCACCU